rnacentral:rRNA from 1 species
UACAGAGGUCUCAAGCGUUUGUUCGGAUUCAUUGGGCGUAAAGGGUGCGUAGGUGGCGCCGUAAGUCGGAUGUGAAAUCCUGAGGCUUAACCUCGGAACUGCAUUCGAUACUGCGGUGCUUUGAGGACUGGAGAGGAGACUGGAAUUCAUGGUGUAGCAGUGAAAUGCGUAGAGAUCAUGAGGAAGACCAGUGGCGAAGGCGGGUCUCUGGACAGUUCCUGACGCUGAGACACGAAGGCCAGGGGAGCAAACGGGG